CCCACCCCCCUGUGUUUGUUUUCCUCAGCACGACGGGGAUGUGUGGCCAAUGAACCCUUCCAGCUCACGGACCUCGCGGUCACCUCCAGACUCCAGGUUUAAUAACGUCUCCCUGAUCCCUCUGCGAGGCAAUGCCAGUGAAAUGAGGAACAGUGUGGCUGCCUUUACUGCUGACCCUCUCUCAAUCUUUAAGCAGCAGUGAAAGCCUGGACUCCAGUCAAGGAAGCUCAGGAGCUGGAAGCUACAGAGCAGAGAAACCGAUAGGAGGGUGUGUUCAGCCGAGGGAGGAGGGAGGGAGGUGGAGGAGAAGGGGCAGGAGCGGCCCCUUCCACUGAGCGUCACUCCUCGUAGAUCCUGUCGAGCUGAAGAACUGACACUAGCAAUCCACCUGAGCCAGUCGUCGGUGUGGGAGCGGAGGAUCGUGCCGGGGAUCACCUGCUGAUUUAAAGACUUUUAAUGCAUCGGUGUAAAACUGUUGUAGCAUAGAGAAUGUCCACUGAAAGCUUGUACAUAUUUUACAACCUGUACCCCCUUUCCCAAGCCCCUCCACCAGCUGAGAAAAUGUUUAUUUAAUUUAACCCUGAUUUCCUCAUCUUCCAA